CUUGUCUCGUCUUAUGUUUGGAACCUCAGCAUGCUCCAGCUCUCCGGCCUUUCAUGAACCUCUUCCAGUGCCUGGUGACUUCCUCCUGAGUCUCUCUCACACUCUUCUUAAGUGGUUUAUCACCCUGAGUUUCGUUGACCAUGGGUGUGACAUGGGCAGUUUUCGUGGAUACACGACUUGGAAGCGAGUCAAUUUCCUUCAAAACUUCCUCGAUGUGUGAGAUGAGUCUUUCCACCAAGCUACGGCUGAAAUCCUCCCUGACAACCACCCGAAGAACCGCCACAUUUUCAGCAUUAGCAGGCAUUGUAUAGGCCGGAACUAUCCACCCAAACUUUCUCAAACCCUCGGAUAUCUCAAACACGGUGUGUGCGCUGCUGUCCUUCAAAGAAAAGGCUACUAAGGGUACGCCAACAUCCUUGGAGAGAAUUUCAAAGCGCCCUGUUUUCUCUAAUCCUUCUCUUAGCGCUCUAGCAUUCCCCAUGCAAUUUUCCAUAAUGUUCUUGUAACCCUAGUUUACAGGACAAGAAAAGGACAUACCUUGAGACUUGAAAUAAAAGUAAAGGUAAUUUCCUGGACAAAUACAGGCCAAAUUGUACAUUUUAUUGAAUAUAUGAGCAGUCAGAAUCAUUUCAAAUCUAGCAAACACUAGUCAGUUUAAUAUCCAAAAAACAUGAGACAACAAGAAAAUUGAUCCCAUCACAACUGAUCGAUUUUGGUGCAUCAGUUCUCAACCUCAUUUUGUCAAUGUCUACCGGUAACAAACUAACUUUAACUGAUGAACUUUAACAAUAUGCCAUAUGAACACUUACAAAUUAACAGGAUUUCAUAGUACAUGCAAAGUGUCAUAAAAGUAGGAGGAAUGUAUCACAAAGAAACUUGAGAGUUUUUUAUGAUCAACACAACAAAAAGAUGGAAUUACCUCAAAGCCAAGCCGUAUAAACUGAUAAUAUUGAGCAAUUAUUUGACUGGAGCCUGCCAAAUAGGAAUGAUUGUCAAUUACAAAAAUACAACUACAAUGGUCGCAAAAAUAUCAAAUUUACAAGUCAUCUUCCAUUCAAUGGAACAACACAAUGUUCUUGUAACAGAUUACUUGACAGAUGCUCUUGUAAAACGAUAUAGGCCCAUUGGUGUGUCUUAGCUCAAACGAAAAACAGUAAGACCUCUAGAAGGUAGUACAGAAUAGUUUAGGUUGAAAUGCAGAUGGUUUGGGUUUCAUUUUAUGCAAUAUUUAAAAAAUAUAUAUAUAUAUUGAGAAUUUAGAGAUUUUUUUAAAAGCAAAAGACAAAUAGCCUUCAAAGCAAACAAUAAAUUUUUUAAAAAGGCAAGUUUUGAGGCUAAAGUCUAUCAAUUGAUAAACAGUGAGAAUAUAGUUAAUGACAUAAUGACUCUUGAUGACAUUAGUUUUGGCAUCACUUCUUAUGAAUUCUUAAAGCUCUAAUUUGAAUUUUCCAUUGAAAAACUCUUCAAACUUCCAUCCAUUUUUUUCAGUAAGUUAUCCUUAGUAUCUGCCCAAUCCUACAACUGUUAACAACCAAUACAGGGGAAAUGUCAUCAAACUAUUUGAAUUUUCCAUUGAAAAACUCUUCUAACUUCCCAUCCAUUUUUUUCAGUAAGUUAUCCUUAGUAAGUAUCUGCCCAAUCCUACAACUAUAACAACCAAUACAGGGGAAAUGUCAUCAAACUCUAAAGCAGCCACCAAAACAGAACGUAAACUUAACCCCCAAGUCCUAAAUCUUAAAACUUUAACCCUAAAAAGAUUCACUGUCCUCUAUGAUUAGCACAAACAGGAGAAAUAACACCCUAAUGAAAUGCUUGAAAACACAAAAGUUUACAAGAUUAUGGGUAAAUGUACACUAACGAGCUUUUGUUCUGGUUUAGGUAAGAUAUACUUAAAAAGUAUGACUUUAAAGUUUGAUAUAGUUUAAAAUUUAAAGUUUAGCUGUAAGAAUAGCCUUGAAUUGUGUGUUUAAAACUUUAAAAUCAUACUUAAAACUUACUUUCCUUCCUAAACCUUAACAAAUGGCCUUGCCCCCGAGCACGUGCCCCUUACCUUCAAUCAUUUUGUCUGUUCCAGCUUUUUAGCUGGGGAUUAGUGGUUGCGUUUGCAAGGCUAUGUUACCGCAUAAAUGUGAUACCACUCAUAGUGGUGGCAGGUUUGAGCUUUCAUUUUAAUAUUGAGGUGGCUGCAUGAUUUAGGGUGUGUGGAUUCCCACUUCUUUAUGCAUGCAUACACAUCUAAUCUGCAAUAAUUUAUAACUAAAGCAUCUAAAAAGAAUUUAAAAUCAUUGUCUGAUAAACACGAACAAGAAGUUAAAUAAAUUGCGUGUGCUCAACUUAAAACAUAUUUUAGCGUUAUAUAGUCAAAAACCAUAUCUUUAUUAUAAACAUGCCUUUUUGAAAAGAUUACACAAAUAAAAAAGCUUGUGAAAAUCACCAAUUGAUCUGUAUGCCAUGGAAAUUCUAGAAACAAGAUGCAAUAUCUACAUAAGUGCUUCACAUAUUAGAAAAUAAAAUCCGAGUUAUCUAGUAGCAAAAUUAUCCUUUAAACAUACUGUUUAUAUUUAUAAUGAUGAGAAAGCGUAAACUUAUGCACACAGGUAGAUGGAGAAAUGCUUAGUUGAUAUAUGAAAUGAACAUAUGCGCAGACAUGUAUGUGUAUUACCUUUUGAGAAGUUGAGGGUGAAAGUCGGUUGAUCAGAUCCAAGGUAGUUGAUGUGAAAGACAAGUUCAUCCGGCAAGUCAUCUUUGGUCCUCCAGACAACCCAGCCAACACCUGCAUAUACAAGGCCGUACUUGUGACCACUGACAUUAAUGCUCUUCACCAGUGGCAAACGGAAAUCCCAUUCAAGGUCUGGAUAGAGAAAAGGAGCAAUAAAUCCGCCGCUAGCAGCAUCAACAUGAAUGGGGGUGUCCCAACCGGUCUCCUCAUUCUUUUUGGUGAGGAGGUCAUGAAGAAGCUUAACAUCCUCAAAUUCUCCCGUCAAGGUUGAUCCCAGAAUGGCUGCAACACAAAUGGUGUUCUCAUCUACCAACUCAACAGCUUUCACAGGAUUCAUCACAUAAUAUCCCUCUUCCAGUUUCACCUCCUUCAGCUCAACCUCAAAGUACCUCGCAAAUUUCUCCCAGCAUACCUGCAUAAGUCAUGUGAAACAUUAAGCACAACAAUAAAAUCUCAUUGUUACAAAACAACAGCCGUAGUUCAUGCAAGACAUUGCUAACACCACAAAUGCACAAAACCAAAUUUAAUUUAUAAAAAAUUGUGUGCUUGGCAACAAUCUAAAAUUCACCUGCACAUUAGCUCCAGUGACUAUAUUGGGCUUAUCAUAGGGUUUGCCUUGCUCUUUUCUCUUCUGCUGCCACUUCCUUUUAAAAGCCAAGCCAGCAAGCAUUAUUGCCUCUGAUGAACCUACAGUCCCCACGCCCACUGCAGUCUUGUCAUCCGCAACUGGAGUAUUAAAUAGGUGGGCAAUCAUAUUCACACACCGAUUCUGCAGAAUCAGUUAAAACAAUUACUUUAUGGUUAAAAAAAAAGAAAAAGGAAUACGUCCCUAAAUACUCAGGAUAUAAAUCGAUGCUGUUCAAUCAGUAUAAUACGUUGUCCAAUUAUUUGACAAUGCUUAAUAAAAAAACCAGGAAAUGAUUCAGCUGCAAUAUCUUUACACAAAGGGCCAUUGACUCAGAGAUACCUGGAGCUCUGUGGUUACAGGGUAUUCAUCCAUGUCAACAUAGUUUUUAUUAAUCGAAGCCAUGACAAGCUUAUCACACUCGGGCUCCAUCCAAGUGGUCACAAAAGAUGCCAAGUUCAGCCUUGGAUUUCCAUCUAACAUCAGCUCAUCAUUUAUUACCUGAUAGGCUGCCUCCUUUGGCAUUGAAUUAUCUGGCAUCUUGAAUCUACAUCAACAUUCACACCCCAUAAGAUCUAAUUGAAAAUAAAAUAAGUCCUUUUUAAUUUUCACUUUUCUCAUAACUUUCAAGUUUCAGUUUUGGUUUGCAACUUUUGUAAGUUUGAAACUACAAGGGGAAAUAAAUUGCAAGAAUGUAACAAGGCAAUUGUUCAUUAAUGUAAAAAGAACAAAAAAAAAAAAAAAGGUACAAAUUUCUCCUUUUCUCAAGUUCCUUUUUACUUAUAGUAGGUUUGGUGGCAAAAAAUCAAAAUUUACAUCACCCCAGUGAAAUAUUUUAUCAUUUCAUUAAUCUGACUCAAUCAGCAAGUAAAAUGGCAAAUAUGAGUUUACAAAAGAGAAAGGUUAAUAACUAAGAAACCAGUCAAUUGGAGCAAUGGAAUCGAUCACAGUUGCACAUUACAAAUUCAUUCAGCACAUGUGUAGGUCAUACUCUUGAUCUCUUAAAGGAUAGCUAAAAAUUUUAAAAUAUGAAAUAAAUCAGAUCAAGAUCUCUCUUAUUAUUCACUAAUUAAAACGUAUAUAUAGUGUUUACAUCUAAAAGCUACACUGAUGACUGAACCUACUCAUUGUCAAGCCGAAGCUAUAAUCUCAGGGAUCAAGAUCCUCAUGAUCUGAUCUGCUCAGUCCAAGAGGAUCAUCCAAAUUGACUUAGAUAUCUACUAAAGUUCUUCAAGAUCUAUGGGAUAAUUGAAUAAAUUAUAAGUUCUAAUACAAUUUUUUUUUUAAAAAGAAAAAUAUAAAAUUAAUUUUUGAACCAAGGUCAGUACUCAGUAUUAACGUUAAGUUGAGUUUUGACUGGGAGGUUGACUGUUUCCAUUAUUUAUAAAACAAUCUUUAAUGAUCUAACCAAAUUCACAUCUCACCAAACUCUUCCUAGAGCCAUAUAUAUAUAUUAUUCUUUGAAUAAAACAUUUAAAAAGUUAGUAUCCUACAAAUAAAAAGAAUAAUAAUCUGAGAGCUAUAUUUAUUAUUAUCUUUUGACAAAAAAGAAAAAGACACAGAGAGAAGGAAAGCAGAAAAUGAAUAUCCAUUUUAUAUCUGUUAAACAUGCAAAUUAUUAAGAAAUCGGAUAAUAUGAAAAAAAAAAAAAAGAAGAAAGAGAGAAGAAGUGUUUGUUAAUAAGUAGAUACCUGGGAAUAGCAGCACGGACAUAUCUUGAAGCAAAUGUGGAGUUCAAAAUCUCCCUGGAGUCUGUUUCUGUUGUUGAAAUCACCAUUUUUGUUUUUGUUUUGUGCAGAGAAGAGAGACUC
rnacentral:lncRNA from 1 species